GACGAACGCUGGCGGCGUGCUUAACACAUGCAAGUCGAACGAUGAAGCUAGAGCUUGCUCUGGUGGAUUAGUGGCGAACGGGUGAGUAACACGUGAGUAACCUGCCCCGAACUCUGGGAUAACUGCUGGAAACGGUAGCUAAUACCGGAUAUGACCAAUGAAGGCAUCUUCUGUUGGUGGAAAGAAUUUCGGUUCGGGAUGGACUCGCGGCCUAUCAGCUUGUUGGUGAGGUAACGGCUCACCAAGGCGACGACGGGUAGCCGGCCUGAGAGGGUGAUCGGCCACACUGGGACUGAGACACGGCCCAGACUCCUACGGGAGGCAGCAGUGGGGAAUAUUGUACAAUGGGCGCAAGCCUGAUGCAGCAACGCUGCGUGAGGGACGACGGCCUUCGGGUUGUAAACCUCUUUUAGUAGGGAAGAAGCGAAAGUGACGGUACCUGCAGAAAAAGCACCGGCUAACUACGUGCCAGCCGCCCCGUAA
rnacentral:rRNA from 1 species